GGGUUGUGAGGUUAAGCGACUAAGCGUACACGGUGGAUGCCCUGGCAGUCAGAGGCGAUGAAGGACGUGCUAAUCUGCGAAAAGCGUCGGUAAGGUGAUAUGAACCGUUACAACCGGCGAUGUCCGAAUGGGGAAACCCAGUGCAAUUCGUUGCACUAUCGUUAACUGAAUACAUAGGUUAACGAGGCGAACCGGGGGAACUGAAACAUCUAAGUACCCCGAGGAAAAGAAAUCAACCGAGAUUCCCCCAGUAGCGGCGAGCGAACGGGGAGCAGCCCAGAGUCUGAAUCAGCUUGUGUGUUAGUGGAACGGUCUGGAAAGUCCGACGGUACAGGGUGAUAGUCCCGUACACCAAAAUGCACAGGUUGUGAACUCGAAGAGUAGGGCGGGACACGUGGUAUCCUGUCUGAAUAUGGGGGGACCAUCCUCCAAGGCUAAAUACUCCUGACUGACCGAUAGUGAACCAGUACCGUGAGGGAAAGGCGAAAAGAACCCCGGCGAGGGGAGUGAAAAAGAACCUGAAACCGUGUACGUACAAGCAGUGGGAGCACCUUCGGGUGUGACUGCGUACCUUUUGUAUAAUGGGUCAGCGACUUAUAUUCUGUAGCAAGGUUAACCGUAUAGGGGAGCCGCAGGGAAACCGAGUCUUAACUGGGCGUUAAGUUGCAGGGUAUAGACCCGAAACCCGGUGAUCUAGCCAUGGGCAGGUUGAAGGUUGGGUAACACUAACUGGAGGACCGAACCGACUAAUGUUGAAAAAUUAGCGGAUGACUUGUGGCUGGGGGUGAAAGGCCAAUCAAACCGGGAGAUAGCUGGUUCUCCCCGAAAGCUAUUUAGGUAGCGCCUCGUGAACUCAUCUUCGGGGGUAGAGCACUGUUUCGGCUAGGGGGUCAUCCCGACUUACCAACCCGAUGCAAACUACGAAUACCGAAGAAUGUUAUCACGGGAGACACACGGCGGGUGCUAACGUCCGUCGUGAAGAGGGAAACAACCCAGACCGCCAGCUAAGGUCCCAAAGUCAUGGUUAAGUGGGAAACGAUGUGGGAAGGCACAGACAGCCAGGAUGUUGGCUUAGAAGCAGCCAUCAUUUAAAGAAAGCGUAAUAGCUCACUGGUCGAGUCGGCCUGCGCGGAAGAUGUAACGGGGCUAAACCAUGCACCGAAGCUGCGGCAGCGACACUAUGUGUUGUUGGGUAGGGGAGCGUUCUGUAAGCCUGCGAAGGUGACCUGUGAGGGUUGCUGGAGGUAUCAGAAGUGCGAAUGCUGACAUAAGUAACGAUAAAGCGGGUGAAAAGCCCGCUCGCCGGAAGACCAAGGGUUCCUGUCCAACGUUAAUCGGGGCAGGGUGAGUCGACCCCUAAGGCGAGGCCGAAAGGCGUAGUCGAUGGGAAACAGGUUAAUAUUCCUGUACUUGGUGUUACUGCGAAGGGGGGACGGAGAAGGCUAUGUUAGCCGGGCGACGGUUGUCCCGGUUUAAGCAUGUAGGCUGAUUGUCCAGGCAAAUCCGGAUAAUCAAGGCUGAGGUGUGAUGACGAGGCACUACGGUGCUGAAGUAACAAAUGCCCUGCUUCCAGGAAAAGCCUCUAAGCAUCAGGUAACAUCAAAUCGUACCCCAAACCGACACAGGUGGUCAGGUAGAGAAUACCAAGGCGCUUGAGAGAACUCGGGUGAAGGAACUAGGCAAAAUGGUGCCGUAACUUCGGGAGAAGGCACGCUGGUGUGUAGGUGAAGUCCCUGCGGAUGGAGCUGAGACCAGUCGAAGAUACCAGCUGGCUGCAACUGUUUAUUAAAAACACAGCACUGUGCAAACACGAAAGUGGACGUAUACGGUGUGACGCCUGCCCGGUGCCGGAAGGUUAAUUGAUGGGGUUAUCCGUAAGGAGAAGCUCUUGAUCGAAGCCCCGGUAAACGGCGGCCGUAACUAUAACGGUCCUAAGGUAGCGAAAUUCCUUGUCGGGUAAGUUCCGACCUGCACGAAUGGCGUAAUGAUGGCCAGGCUGUCUCCACCCGAGACUCAGUGAAAUUGAACUCGCUGUGAAGAUGCAGUGUACCCGCGGCAAGACGGAAAGACCCCGUGAACCUUUACUAUAGCUUGACACUGAACAUUGAGCCUUGAUGUGUAGGAUAGGUGGGAGGCUUUGAAGCGUGGACGCCAGUCUGCGUGGAGCCAACCUUGAAAUACCACCCUUUAAUGUUUGAUGUUCUAACGUUGGCCCCUGACCGGGGUUGCGGACAGUGUCUGGUGGGUAGUUUGACUGGGGCGGUCUCCUCCCAAAGCGUAACGGAGGAGCACGAAGGUUAGCUAAUCCUGGUCGGACAUCAGGAGGUUAGUGCAAUGGCAUAAGCUAGCUUGACUGCGAGCGUGACGGCGCGAGCAGGUGCGAAAGCAGGUCAUAGUGAUCCGGUGGUUCUGAAUGGAAGGGCCAUCGCUCAACGGAUAAAAGGUACUCCGGGGAUAACAGGCUGAUACCGCCCAAGAGUUCAUAUCGACGGCGGUGUUUGGCACCUCGAUGUCGGCUCAUCACAUCCUGGGGCUGAAGUAGGUCCCAAGGGUAUGGCUGUUCGCCAUUUAAAGUGGUACGCGAGCUGGGUUUAGAACGUCGUGAGACAGUUCGGUCCCUAUCUGCCGUGGGCGCUGGAGAAUUGAGGGGGGCUGCUCCUAGUACGAGAGGACCGGAGUGGACGCAUCACUGGUGUUCGGGUUGUCAUGCCAAUGGCACUGCCCGGUAGCUAAAUGCGGAAGAGAUAAGUGCUGAAAGCAUCUAAGCACGAAACUUGCCCCGAGAUGAGUUCUCCCUGAGACUAUAAGUCUCCUGAAGGAACGUU
rnacentral:rRNA from 1 species